CUGAUACCAACACUGUGAUUUCUGUCUUUGUAAGGCUCUGAGAGAUACACUGUGAGAGGAACUCUGGCGUCCAUGCAAGAAAUGUGGUGGUUGUUAUCUAGAAGCAAAUGAUGAUGUAGGGAGAUUCUACUACUGAAAUGAUGGAGACGGUGGCCUUCCACAAAGAGAGUUUUCUACAUUCAGCAUCUGAAAUUGCAGAAUGAGAUGACAUGCGUUGUGGUUCAGGAAUGGCCCCACAAACUACUCAAACUCUGGUC
rnacentral:lncRNA from 1 species